UACGGAGGAUGCAAGCGUUAUCCGGAUUUAUUAGGUUUAAAGGGUGCGUAGGCGGAACAAUAAGUCAGUGGUGAAAUCUUGCGGCUUAACCGUAAAAUUGCCAUUGAAACUGUUGUUCUUGAGUAUAGUUGAGGUAGGCGGAACGUGUCAUGUAGCGGUGAAAUGCUUAGAGAUGACACAGAACACCGAUUGCGUAGGCAGCCUACUAGACUAUCACUGACGCUGAGGCACGAAAGCGUGGGGAGCGAACAGG
rnacentral:rRNA from 1 species